GCCUCUAUAGCUCAGUUGAUUACAGCACUGCACCGGAAUCGCAGGGCCGUAGGUUCAAUUCCUACCAGAGGAC